rnacentral:rRNA from 1 species
GACGAACGCUGGCGGCGUGCCUAAUACAUGCAAGUUGAGCGCUGAAGGUUGGUACUUGUACCAACUGGAUGAGCAGCGAACGGGUGAGUAACGCGUGGGGAAUCUGCCUUUGAGCGGGGGACAACAUUUGGAAACGAAUGCUAAUACCGCAUAAAAACUUUAAACACAAGUUUUAAGUUUGAAAGAUGCAAUUGCAUCACUCAAAGAUGAUCCCGCGUUGUAUUAGCUAGUUGGUGAGGUAAAGGCUCACCAAGGCGAUGAUACAUAGCCGACCUGAGAGGGUGAUCGGCCACAUUGGGACUGAGACACGGCCCAAACUCCUGCGGGAGGCAGCAGUAGGGAAUCUUCGGCAAUGGACGAAAGUCUGACCGAGCAACGCCGCGUGAGUGAAGAAGGUUUUCGGAUCGUAAAACUCUGUUGGUAGAGAAGAACGUUGGUGAGAGUGGAAAGCUCAUCAAGUGACGGUAACUACCCAGAAAGGGACGGCUAACUACGU